GGGCCCGUAGCUCAGUCUGGAUAGAGCGGCAGCCUAUUCUAGGCCGAGCCCCCUAUGCCUUGAGCGAGUUGAGCUGUAGGUCCGGGGUUCGAAUCCCCGCGGGCCCGCCA
rnacentral:tRNA from 1 species